rnacentral:rRNA from 1 species
CAAUAGCGUAUAUUUAAGUUGUUGCAGUUAAAAAGCUCGUAGUUGGAUUUCGGGUAGGAUUUGCCGGUCCGUCUUUGAGAUGUGUACUGGUAAGUCCUAUCUUCUUGUCGGGGACCAGCUCCUGGGCUUCACUGUCCGGGACUGGGAGCCGACGAAGUUACUUUGAGUAAAUUAGAGUGUUCAAAGCAAGCCUACGCUCUGAAUAUAUUAGCAUGGAAUAACACGAUAGGACUCUGGCUUAUCUUGUUGGUCUGUGAGACCAGAGUAAUGAUUAAGAGGGACAGUCGGGGACAUUCGUAUUUCAUUGUCAGAGGUGAAAUUCUUGGAUUUAUGAAAGACGAACUACUGCGAAAGCAUUUGCCAAGGAUGUUUUCAUUAA